GGAGAAAAACAAAACAAAUACAAUGCAGUUGCAGCUGCUCCAUUACUUGGACACCUAAUAAGUUAUGUGAGCAACAGAGCAAGAGUGUCUGACCUGGCUAACAUGAUGCCCAGACCAGUAAGUAUACGUGAAACGUCAAGUAACCAGUAUUAAAUGGAAGUAAAAUUCUGCCAGUCUAGAUUCAUGGGCUGGUAGAUUAUGUUUAGAAUUGGUUUGACUUGGAAGGAGACACUAUCCUCUAUAGAUUCCCACAGAAAGACUCCAUUGUGUAAAGCUAGUUGUUCUCUCUGUGAGGCAGGCCUGUACCUUGACAUAGGUGCCACAAACACUGUUCCAGCAUUGGCUACUUGCUACUUAAGAGGCAGGCAACUGAAAACAUAUUGAGCAUUCAAGCAGAAAAACUAAUUUUCAUAAUGUGAAAAGCAAUUAAAUAUGUGAUGUUGUUCCACCAUCAACAUCAACCAUUGGAUGUGAAGUUGAAGAAAAAAAGGCUUAUUUGCACUGAGAGGACACUGAGGUCCGAACAGCAGCGCACCAGAGAGGGGAGCUACUGGAAAACAGCCCUUACACUGGAAGCCUGUUAGCAAGCGGUCACAGUCUGUGGAAACCUGGCCAGUUAUGGACGUUUCAUCAGACUGUGGGGAUUCCUUCCGGCACAUUCUGGAUUAGUUCCUCUCAGGCAGAGAGUCAGCAGGUGGGAGCUGAGAUGGGCAGGACAGCUGCAUUCAAACAAGUGCAUCAUGGGAAACUGCAAUGACAUAACACCCCCCUGGACAAGCCCUGCCUGGGCGAAAGAGAUUUGUGUCUGCUUGAUUGGGUGUGGAGGACAGAGUCAGUAAACCAAUGUUAUGGAGUUGGAUAGAACUGCACUGGGGGGAUUAGGUUUAUCAUAAUAUAAAAACAACAUACUUUAUGGUGACAGUAUGUUUGUUUCCUUAUAUUGUGAAAAUUGACUCACUGGGCUUACUCUGGCAUUAAACAUGACCUCACUUGCAAGCAUUUUAACAACCUUUUCUGCAUGUAGCAUCAUGCUAUGACAUAAGUCAUAUAAUAACAGUUGUGAAUGCUCAAGGCAACUCAUGUUCUAUAUUCCUGACCGCACAUAUCAUGAUGCACGAUAUCUUUAAACAACCUGUAAACAUGUGAACAACAUUUUAAUUGAUUUAGUCUAACAACAUACAGUCAACUCCUACUGCACAGUUUGCACUCUCCACACACUGCAGAAUCUACACCCUCCACACUGCAGAAUCUACACACUGCAGAAUCUACACCCUCCACACACUGCAGAAUCUACACCCUCCACACACUGCAUAAUCUACACACUGCAGAAUCUACGCCCUCCACACUGCAGAAUCCACACAUUGCAGAAUCUACACCCUUCGCAUUGUCACUCUGCUCUGUGAUUUGUUGUAGAGCUCAGAACCACGAACAGGGCACAGUGGAAACAGUAGAGAGUUUUGAGAGAGUAAACUUCCUGGGGCGGGACAAUGAAUUAUGCAUAUAUAGCAGUCCAAAAACUGAAAUAAUUGUUCACCAUUCUCCAGCUCAAUAUGAUUUUCAGGGCAUCUAUAAAUGUUUUUAAAAAAGUUUACUAAUACACAUUUACUUCAAGUGUUCAUGCGGUCAUUCCCAGGAGAGGCUAGGGUUGCAAAGGGUUGGAGAAUUUCCAGUAAAUUUCCAGGAACUUUCUGGAAACUUUCCACGGGAAAUUAAGUUUGGGAAUUUGGGAAAUUUUGCGACCCAGCCGGGGUAUGGAUCAGUGGGGGUAUGGAUCAGCAGGGGUACGACAGUGAGCUGACCCAGGGCAAACGCAUAUUUCAAAUGCAUUACUUUAGAUGCUAAUACAAUUCUAAAACGCUCUUGUUGAUCCAUGACAAACAAAACAUGUUACGAACCAAAGUAUGUAAUGAUACGUGAGCAUAACACAAGAACUUUAUCCUGAAUGGUAAAACCGAUGUUGCUAUUAGUACUGGCAAUUUUCAGGAACGUUACUUAUGUCAAGGGUUAAAGCAUUUAAUACAGUGCUGUAAAUUAAGGUCAAGUGGUUUAGACGAAUUGAGAGUAAAAAAGAGAGAGCACUAGCCCAUUGGGCGAGGGGCAAGUCAAAAGUUUAUUACGGACAACAAACCGGAAUUCAUGCUAAAUUGCGUAUUAAUCUCUCAUGUUUCGAAACCUUCUAUACGUUGACGUGUACCUGUGGUCGUGUGGUGUCACCUUCAAUGUCAGUGAUGACUCAGGUCUUUCCCCUUGGGUGGCGGCUUCUCAGUCAGCCAGUCAAUCUGAAUUCGGUAUUCAAUCUGUUCUGUAGCGCAAAUGCUUUAACAGGCAAGACUCGUAUAAAGUGUCAUCUAUUAUGUUCGUAUUCCUAAGAACAUUAAUCGCGACGAAAUGCUUUGUUUGUUUUCUAAUAUUCCGCCACCGCCACCACCAACUAGUUCUACAUCAAAUAACUCUUCAUCAAGAGUGCGAGUGAGAACAUUAGUAGAAAGCCGAAUGACUGCUAGGGAUAGGCUAUGCACUGCUACGCACAUAACAAGCACGUAACACUUUACAUAAUAAUGAUACUUCAAUUGCCAUUAACUAAUGUAGCUAGUUGUUAACCAAGCAACUACUGAGAAUAGUAAUAAUAGUAAUGAUAGUAAUAAUAUCUUGACUUCUGGCAUCUGUCAGUGAUACUAAUACUCCCACCACACCCUGAUUGCUACACCACAGCACGUGUCGUCCACUUCUCUACAACACACACUGUGUUGUUGUCAGGAAAAGCAUCUCUUACAAACCAUGGGAAACAUGACCGCAAAGAUAAAAACAGUAAAACCGCUCAAGGCAAAGGACAUUAUCAUCCCUUCCCCCCCCCCCCACCACACUGCUGCCAUCAAAUUCAUAGCAGACACUCAGUGAUUAAAGACUAGCAUGCCUAAGAUUCAGAUUGGAGAGAACGCACACACGCGUGUUACACUCAAACCCCAAUACAUAAACACUGAACACAAACACUAACACAAUCACAUUCAAACAUUACCUUGGAGACGGGUUUCUGUUUGCUCGUAUGGAUACAUGUAGCUACUGGCCUGGGGUGGGGUGAGCAAUGAGGUGAUUGUCUAAAUGAGCUGGACUGUGCAGUUGGACUGUAGUUUGACUGUGUAACUAGACUGUGCAGGCUGUGUACUCCUCCUCACCCCCCCAAACUGAUCUAUACUUAGCGCAGGAGGGAUUUACAGCACGGCUCUCUGAUCCCAGGCUGGGCUAAUGCCGAUGCGAUAGCAUCGCUCCUCUGAGGCCGUAGCCCAUUUCCUCCUCAGCUGGACUGAAACCAGGCAGAACAUGGACGGCAGAUCCAGGAAGUGAUAUGGGACAUACCCGUUGUCUUGCGCUGUUGUCUAUAAAGUUUUGCUGCGCUGUGUUCACUACUAGCAUUGCGUUCGUAGGGGAAGGGAUUUUCUUGACCCGGUCGACACGUUAAGCCGGCCCUUUGAACAAAAGCCAAUGGGUCGCGAAAUGGUCGACCGCUCCCUGUCCCAGACCGGACAGGCCAGGCCAAUCACACUCCGCCAUGUGCAGUGUGUGGUCUGCACCCUCCUGCGUGAACACCACACAUGUACACGUGUGUCGUGCGGUCACUCGAGUGCCGGUGUGGGUUAGGGGGGCCGCUGACAUCACAGGGCACAGCUGGACUCUUCGUAGUGACGGAACACAGGGAACUGGAGGAAGAGGCCAGGACCCUGAUGAGUUCCAGACCCCGCUCCUGCUGCUAACUGUCAUAUUACAAUAAACACUGGUCGAAACACCACACUUAAAGUGAUGGGAAACA